AAUAAAGUAUCCUAAAUUUAAGGAGCCUCACUGAUAAAGUGGUUAUGUUCUUCCUUUAUUA
rnacentral:tRNA from 1 species